GAACGGUAACAGGCCCGCAAGGGUGCUGACGAGUGGCGGACGGGUGAGGAAUACAUCGGAAUUUGCCCAGUCGUGGGGGAUAACGUAGGGAAACUUACGCUAAUACCGCAUACGACCUAACGGUGAAAGCGGGGGACCCCGCCUUCAAGUGCUUCGAAAGCUUCUAGUACUGCGAUAAGAGCCUUUUCAGGUUUUGUUGCGUGCCAGAGGCACUUGAAGGUGGGGCCUCGCGCGGAUGGAUAAGCCGAUGUCGGAUUAGCUAGUAGCGGGGUAAAGGCCCACCAAGGCGACGAUCCGUAGCUGGUCUGAGAGGAUGAUCAGCCACACUGGGACUGAGACACGGCCCAGACUCCUACGGGAGGCAGCAGUGGGGAAUAUUGGACAAUGGGGGCAACCCUGAU
rnacentral:rRNA from 1 species